AAGACUAUAGACCUGCGGAGUACCUGCGGAAGGAUCAUUACCGAGUGAGGGCCCUCUGGGUCCAACCUCCCACCCGUGUUUAUCGUACCUUGUUGCUUCGGCGGGCCCGCCUCACGGCCGCCGGGGGGCACCUGCCCCCGGGCCCGCGCGCGCCGAAGACAUCAUUGAACUCUGUCUGAAGAUUGCAGUCUGAGUAGAUUAGCUAAAUCAGUUAAAACUUUUAACAAUGGAUCUCUAGAU
rnacentral:misc_RNA from 1 species